AUGCGCAGAAUUUUCCUCAAUUUCCGCACUUUUCAAGUGAAACAAUAACUUUACAGCAAAUGUUUGAUAUGAUAUGAUUGUAUUGCGUUGUUGAUAAGAUUCUCGCAUUAUUCUAUUCACACAUUAAUUUGGCACCAACAGCUGCCAAAGCUCUGGCAGCGUGGGACGAGCAUGAGGGGGGCGAGACGCAGAGUUGCCUUCCUAUAAAUGGUUUUUAUAAUCUACUGCGCAAAAUCUCUUAAUACAUUGUUCAGGGUCGUUUUUGUUACAACAAUAAUCUUAUUUCCGAUCUAAAUGCCAAAGACAAAUUCAAAUUUAAAUUCCAACUUCAAGUUAACAUAAAUCAGUUUUCAUGAACGCAUUAAAUUGUCAUUCCAUUAGUUACAGAUUCUAAUAAGAAUAUUCUUUGCAGCAGAGAUGAUCAUAACACGUAAUACGAGGGUCUGGAUCGAGUGAUUGUACAACGAAUUGGACUAUAUAAAUAUCCACAUGCAUGUAUAUAUAUAUAUAUGAUUUACACCCAUAUAUGCCACUUUGUACAUAUGUAUGUGUGUGUGUGUGCAUGUUCCAAAUGCGGGCAGUGAGUCACUUGAAUAUAAGCACAUAAUAAUACAAAAAAGAAAAAAAAAACUAGCCAAAUAGAGGAAGAGUAUGGGCAGAAAAAAAAAACAUUGCCUCUGAAAAUAUCACGUAAAAUUGAAUUUUGAUCGCCACGAGUCGAGUUCAAGAAGCAGAAAUCAUCUCAUCUCUUCUCGUGCGAUGACUCCAUGCCGUUUAAAUUUGUAGACACAACAAAAAUAAAUCUACAUACAUACAUACAUACAUGCAUACAUACGUACAUGUGUAUGUAUGUUCAUAUCUAAACAAAUUGUUUUGUGCUAACGUGUUUUGGAGAAAUUGUGUGCAUGCUAGUAUGUGUGUGUGUGUGUGUGUGUGUAGAAAUGAAACGCAAAUUCCGUCAAAGCAAUGCACACGAAUAUCAAUCAAAGCGAAACCGUCCAAGUCUGUCAGCCCCCCCCCUCUCGUAGCAGAAGGCAACAACAAGAAGCAUUGUUGUAACUGUUAUUGAAGGGUGCCACGAGACAUCUCCAUACCAAUUCACCUCCACCCAUCACACUGUCCACCACACCCCUCGCACACAACUCUCUUCCUCUGGCAGCAAUAUAACAUAAACUGGCGUCCAUCAGCUGUCUACAUUUUGGUGGGUUCAAUGGCUCUCUGGCAACGCUCAAAUGUUACGCUCUUUAUUUUCUUAUUUUCUUUUUGUUUUUUGUUUUUUUUUUUUUUUUUUGCGCACACGUUGUCCAAAGUCAUUCAACCCAAAAACCAAAUAACGUAAAAUAAAACGCAAAAGGAGGCGAGCGACGGCUGCGACAGCAACGGAACGGGAAGCAGAAGCGGCGGCGGGGUCACUGUGCGCGCUCUCACUCGCACUCUCCCCUCUUACUCCCUGUUAGCUUAGCGCCCGUUAAACAACGACAACAACAACAACAACAACAAGUAGCAAUGGGGUAAAAUUUGAAAAUAUUGCGUAGCGUGGGUCUCCAAAACGAAGGCGAUGCUUCUGAAAGCUGCUGCCGUUGGUCAGUGUGACCACCCCCUCCAAAAAGCAAAAGCAAAAGCAACUUGGUGCACACGACCUCAGGAUGUGCUUCAUUGAAACUUAUUUAGAGCACUGAGCAAAUGACAGAUCAACUCGAACAGAGACGGCAACACUUUUCACUUCGCAUAUGUCUCUUUUUACAUGUGUAUGUAAUCAUUUCAUUUUUAUCAACUAACAGGAGUCUGAACUGUGCACAGACCUUCUCCACCCCCAUUUCGACUGCUAGAUAAUCACCAAAAAAGCCGCACGGGCACUGGACUGUCUGACAGCAUUUGAUAAGCUAGUCCACAGUACGGUUUACUUACCGUUAUCUGGCCCGCAGGCCCAUAUAAAACGUAUCAGCUUUGAUAAUUUGUGACUCAGGGCUUAGGACAAAAACAAAAUGAAAAAAAUAACCCAAAUUAACAAUAUUCAACGACUACGCAAUACCCUGUAUGUUCAAGAAACACACAAGAACUUAAAUAAUUCGAAUUAUAACAUAACUUCAAAAUUCUUUUCCAAGCACACUUAAUGAAACGUUAAAUUGAAAUAGCUUUCUUUUAAUUUCACCCCAGAAUGUUAAUCAGUCUUAUAUGAUUAAAUUGUUGGUUUCUAUAAGUGUAUUCGAAACUUUAAUUUAAUUACAUUUUCCCAUUGAUUUUUUUUAGAGAUAUGUCAAGUAGAUUAAGCCCACAUCAAAAGCAUUGUGUACACACCAAAUAUAACCCUCUAUAUAUUCACUUUAA